AAAGCUUGGAGUUUUUUUUUUUUUGAAAGAAACAGCUUGGAGUGAAAUUACAACAAGCGGGGUCAUUAUUAUCAUUUGUACGCAUUUAUGACUCAGAAAGAUCUUCUCUUGCAAUACUCCAGUGCCAAAUGUGCACACAUUUCCUGAGUGCCAAAUGUGCACACAUUUCCUGAGGCAAAUUGAAGCAUAUUUACAAGCGGUGAUAUUAUAAACUUUAGCAGAAAGCUCAACACUAUUGUGGUACUACGGCUCAUUUAAAGUUUGACUGUUUCUGUUCAAAUACUUGCACUGAUAGAACCUUAGGGAAGAGGAGCUAUCAAGCUCAUAAAAGCUUUUGCAGUGAUACAGUAUUUACAGACAGAAGAACUGGUCAACAGGCUCUUGCCCUACUGGAAUCGUUAUGCAAAUCUCUUUUUCUGUUGUCAGUGCUGGGUAGGGGUCUGGUACCGGCUUCACUGCAAGUUUUGGUACAUUAUCGCCAAGGGUAUACCUGUUGGGUCUCUUUCAGGCGGGGGUCCGUCUUGGUUGAGACUUUGGCUGCUUACUGCUUACAAAUGGGUAAAAUUUUAGCAGAACAGAGAGGUAGAUUCGUAGACAUUAGCUAUGAUCCUGUUUUUAUGGUUCUUCAACAAACAUGCGGAUGAUAUUAGAGGAGACCAAAAUUCAUUUAUGGUAAUGUUCAGUACUAUUCUUGUCCUGAUGAUCACCAUAAUAAUGGCAUCUACUAAUAUAGUUUGCUAUUAAGCCGUCCAAAUGAUGUUUUAUAUAUAUAUAUUGUAAAUGUUUUUAAGAUAG
rnacentral:misc_RNA from 1 species